UACAGAGGGUGCGAGCGUUAAUCGGAAUUACUGGGCGUAAAGGGUGCGUAGGUGGUUUAUUAAGUCGUAUGUGAAAUCCCCGGGCUUAACCUGGGAACUGCAUAUGAUACUGGUAGGCUAGAGUGUGGAAGAGGGAAGUGGAAUUUCCGGUGUAGCGGUGAAAUGCGUAGAUAUCGGAAGGAACAUCAGUGGCGAAGGCGCCGCUCUGGGCCGAGACUGACGCUGAGGAGCGAAAGCGUGGGUAGCAAACAGG
rnacentral:rRNA from 1 species